AACGAACGCUGGCGGCGUGCCUAACACAUGCAGGUCGAACGGAUUGAAGGGGCUUGCUCCUUCAGUUAGUGGCGCACGGGUGAGUAACGCGUAGAUAAUCUGCCUGAUGAUCUGGGAUAACAGUUCGAAAGGACUGCUAAUACCGGAUAAGCCCACGUGGUCUUUGGACCGUGCGGGAAAAGGGGGGGACCUUCGGGCCUUCUGUCAUCAGAUGAGUCUGCGUACCAUUAGCUAGUUGGUAGGGUAAUGGCCUACCAAGGCCACGAUGGUUAGCUGGUUUGAGAGAAUGAUCAGCCACACUGGAACUGAGACACGGUCCAGACUCCUACGGGAGGCAGCAGUGGGGAAUUUUGCGCAAUGGGCGAAAGCCUGACGCAGCGACGCCGCGCGAGGGAUGAAGGUUCUCGGAUCGUAAACCUCUGUCAGGAAGGAUUAAAUGUAUGGAUGCGAAUAUCAUCCAUGCUUGACUUAACUUCCAAAGGAAGCCCCGGCUAACUACGUGCCAGCCGCCGCGGUAAUAC
rnacentral:rRNA from 1 species